rnacentral:rRNA from 1 species
UGGGGAAUAUUGCACAAUGGGCGCAAGCCUGAUGCAGCCAUGCCGCGUGUAUGAAGAAGGCCUUCGGGUUGUAAAGUACUUUCAGCGAGGAGGAAGGCGUUGUGGUUAAUAACCGCAACGAUUGACGUUACUCGCAGAAGAAGCACCGGCUAACUCCGUGCCAGCAGCCGCGGUAAUACGGAGGGUGCAAGCGUUAAUCGGAAUUACUGGGCGUAAAGCGCACGCAGGCGGUCUGUUAAGUCGGAUGUGAAAUCCCCGGGCUCAACCUGGGAACUGCAUCCGAAACUGGCAGGCUAGAGUCUUGUAGAGGGGGGUAGAAUUCCAGGUGUAGCGGUGAAAUGCGUAGAGAUCUGGAGGAAUACCGGUGGCGAAGGCGGCCCCCUGGACAAAGACUGACGCUCAGGUGCGAAAGCGUGGGGAGCAAACA